UACGGGGGGGGCAAGCGUUGUUCGGAAUUACUGGGCGUAAAGGGCUCGUAGGUGGCCAACUAAGUCAGACGUGAAAUCCCUCGGCUUAACCGGGGAACUGCGUCUGAUACUGGAUGGCUUGAGUUUGGGAGAGGGAUGCGGAAUUCCAGGUGUAGCGGUGAAAUGCGUAGAUAUCUGGAGGAACACCGGUGGCGAAGGCGGCACCCUGGACCAACACUGACACUGAGGAGCGAAAGCCAGGGGAGCAAACGGG
rnacentral:rRNA from 1 species